rnacentral:rRNA from 1 species
AAGAAUGCCUAUGGGUUGUAAACUGCAAUAUCCGGGAAUAAACCUACUUACGUGUAAGUAGCUGAAUGUACCGGAAGAAUAAGGAUCGGCUAACUCCGUGCCAGCAGCCGCGGUAAUACGGAGGAUCCAAGCGUUAUCCGGAUUUAUUGGGUUUAAAGGGUGCGUAGGCGGCCUGUUAAGUCAGGGGUGAAAGACGGUAGCUCAACUAUCGCAGUGCCCUUGAUACUGAUGGGCUUGAAUGGACUAGAGGUAGGCGGAAUGAGACAAGUAGCGGUGAAAUGCAUAGAUAUGUCUCAGAACACCGAUUGCGAAGGCAGCUUACUAUGGUCUUAUUGACGCUGAGGCACGAAAGCGUGGGGAUCAAACAGGAUUAGAUACCCUGGUAGUCCACGCCCUAAACGAUGAACACUCGCUGUUGGCGAUACACAGUCAGCGGCUAAGCGAAAGCGUUAAGUGUUCCACCUGGGGAGUACGCCCGCAAGGGUGAAACUCACUGGAAGUCUCCGGGGGGGGG